CAACUGAAAAGGCAUUUGACGACCCCCGGGCUGCUUGCAAUCACUUCGAGGUUUCCUGCAAGUGCCGAGAAACCCUCGACAUCUGACUGCAACACCCCUGAAAAGGCAUUUGACGACGCCUUGGCUG